UAAAAUGGAGGUUCAUUCUAGCCAAGUGUCACUGCUCAGAGGGCUGGUUCAGACAAUCUUUUUAAGAGGGGGCCUUGUUAAGUAAGCCUUCCUCUGGGCCCCAGCCUGCUCUCUUGGAGUGCUAGCCUUGGCUUGGUCCUGGGCUCGGCCAUGAGUCCUUGCACUCUCGGUGCUCUCCUACCUCUCCUCCUCAACAGCAGCGGCAGCGGCGCAGCAAGGUCCCUUGAGAGAGCAGGAGAACUGCAGCAAACAUCGUGCCGGCUGGAUCAAAAGCAAACACAACAGUUAUGGGCAGCAGAAGAGCAGCUGGAUCUCCCCACGCAAAGCAAUGGGGAACCAACAACACAGUCUAAAGCACACCCGUUUCAAAAGUAGAUCCAGAGAGUUCAAAGGGGCUUGCUCAUGAGUAAGUGAUCUAGGAGUGCAACCUUAAUGGAAACAGGGAAA